rnacentral:rRNA from 1 species
GGGAAUAACAACCGGAAACGGUUGCUAAUACCGCAUAAUGCAGCGGCACCUAAUGGUGACCCCCGGGGAUGCAGGGGGAUCGAAAGACCUCGCGUCUGAAGAGGAGCCUGCGGCGGAUUAGCUAGUUGGUAGGGUAACGGCCUACCAAGGCGACGAUCCGUAGCCGGCCUGAGAGGGCGGUCGGCCACACUGACACUGACAUACGGGUCAGACUCCUACGGGAGGCAGCAGUCGGGAAUUUUGGGCAAUGGGCGAAAGCCUGACCCAGCAACGCCGCGUG